GAAAAACAAGCCCGGAGUCCGGGCUGCGGUCACAUGAUGGGGGGAAGGGAGGGGAACGCGAUGAAUGGCGAAAGAGGGUGGGGGAUGGACUUGGCGUGAACCGGGAGGCACCGCUCUGUGUGACCCAAGGAGGAGGCUUGGCAGGCGAUUCCAGUCUCCGCCUUUCAACCUAUGCUGCCACCGCAGGCCGAUUGAAACAAAACAAAACAAGCCAGGCGAAGUGGACAGCAAGGUUUUUGUAGCUUUAAAUGCUGCGUGCUGUCUAGGGUGUUUCACUCUCCGCUGUGCACUCUACACUCGAGUUCAUUCUUAGGGAGUUUUCAGCUACAGUCGUUUUUAGAAGGAGCACUGACAGCCAGCUCUCGCCUUCAAAAAGAAAAUGAUCCCAU
rnacentral:lncRNA from 1 species